ensembl:lncRNA
GCAAAACAGGACAGCGUGUGCCAGACAAACACACGGUCCAGGUCAGAAGUAGGUUAAUUAAAAGGAGAUAAGCAAGGCAGGAAGUCCUGAAAUAGAUAAUAGUAGUUGGCUUGACUUUGAAACUUACUUAAUGGUUUUCCUUUUCAGGCAGUUUAUUUCUUUCCUAUUUUUUUUUUUUUUCAAUGGGCAAGGAGGGACGGAAAUAUGAUUAAGUGAGAUUAAGUGGCAUUUAAUUCACAUUUUUUUUUCUCUUCCCUGGUAUAUGCCUGCUACUGUUCCUGAUGAAAGUGCUCUUGCAUUCUGCAGCGGCAGAAGAAGACCUGGAUAAAUAAUUGUAUGCAGUUCCAUGGAAAGUGCUCCGCAUGGGAUUUCAGAAUUGUGAUGAUACUGGCUGCAGCAAAGUUACAUUUUAUAAGGAUAAAUCAGAUCCUCUAUGAGACGAACUUCCCAUGACUUUCUGGCAGUCAGAGACCUUUAGUGAUGACGUGCCGCAACUCCCUGGACUCAGCAGUGAAGAUGUUCAAGCCCAGCACAACAGGACCAUAAGAAAGACAUUGAGGCCCCUCACUACAAGAAAGACAGUGAAGCCCUGGAGCAUGGCCAGAGAAGAGCAACAAAGAUGUGUGAACUACAGAGAGCCCUGCCUGGCAGGUAAUCUCACAUGAGGAGCACACCUGAAUGCUGGGAACCCCCAGGAACUUUGUGGCCAUCUAUCAGCACCGACACACAGAAAUUGAGGAUCUGGAGCACACCUGCAGCCAUCUGGAAGCCAGACUGUGAGAAAAGAGGCUCCUGAAGGAAUAUUGGCAGCUGUUCCUGGACAGUGCUGCAUUGAAAAUGUUGCUGUGAUGAGAAAAUUGGAGGCCAGAAUGAGGAUGUGAAAUAAUGCUGAUCUCCAGCAGUUACAAGCUGAAAGGGAGGAGCUUGAAGAAAAACAUCAGGGAACCAAAUGCUGGGAUAUAUGAUGAACAAGAUAUUCCCACAUGCUGAAACUCAGUGUGUAAGCGAAGCUCUAAUGUUAAGCACAAAAUGGGGAAAAUGUAGCUGUAGGGAAGGAGUUGUAGGUGCUCACUGAAAGUACAACCCUGCCAAGACUUCCCUCUGAGGCCUGGAGAAGUAUCAGGCUGCACGUUAAUGAGAGCAUGGGGGUCCAUCAUACUCAGGGCUUGGAAGACCAUGUCUACAAGUUGUCCAAUGCUCCCACAUCGGAAUUGUAGAAUACCCUGAGUUGGAAAAGACCCACAAGGAUCACUGAAGCUACCUCCAGGCUCCACACUGGACCACCCAUCAACCAGACCAUAUGUCUGAGAGUAUGCCCUGUGCAGCCCGUUCCAUGCCCACCGCCCUGUGGUGCAGCCCCUUUCCCUGACCCCCAGCUGCCCUCCCCUGACACAGCUCCAUGCCGUUCCCUCGGGCCCUGUCGCUGUCACACAGAGCAGAGCUCAGCGCUGCCCCUCCGCUCCCUGUGAGGAGCUGCAGCCACCAUCAGGCCUCCCCUCAGCCUAAACUUAAUUCAAUUUAUUGAAGUAUAUUUGAUUUGGUCAAUCAGCCCCAAAGCCUGCAUAGAUAUUUGUAUUUCAGAGGAAAAAUGGAUUACUGCAAGCUAUGUCAACUGACCUAACUUCUCUGCAAAGCUGUUGCCCCUUUGUGCUUAAAGGACUGUGU